rnacentral:rRNA from 1 species
UACGUAGGCAGCGAGCGUUGUUCGGAGUUACUGGGCGUAAAGCGUGCGUAGGCGGUGUCUUAAGUUUGUUGUGAAAUCUCCCGGCUUAACCGGGAGGGUGCGGCGAAUACUGAGAUGCUGGAGUGCGGGAGAGGUAAGCGGAAUUCCUGGUGUAGCGGUGAAAUGCGUAGAGAUCCGGAGGAACACCAGUGGCGUAGGCGGCUGUCUGGGGUCUUGCUGACGCUGAGGCACGAAAGCCAGGGGAGCGAACGGG